GACGUAGGUGGCGAACGUUAUCCGGAAUCAUUGGGCGUAAAGGGUGCGUAGAUGGCAUGAUAAGUUAUUAGUGGGAAAUCGAGGCUCAACCUCGUGGAAGCUAGUAAUACUGUUUUUGCUUGAGUACAGAAGAGGUUAACGGAACUCCAUGUGGAGCGGUAAAAAUGCGUAGAUAUAUGGAAGAACACCAAUAACGGCGAAGGCAGUUAACUAUUCUGUUUACUGA
rnacentral:rRNA from 1 species